rnacentral:rRNA from 1 species
AACAAACGCUGGCGGCAGGCUUAACACAUGCAAGUCGAACGGGUGUAGCAAUACAUCAGUGGCAGACGGGUGAGUAACACGUGGGAACCUUCCUAGGGGUACGGAACAACUCAGGGAAACUUGAGCUAAUACCGUAUACGUCCGUGAGGAGAAAGAUUUAUCGCCCUUAGACGGGCCCGCGUCGGAUUAGCUAGUUGGUGGAGUAACGGCCUACCAAGGCGACGAUCCGUAGCUGAUCUUAGAGGAUGAUCAGCCACACUGGGACUGAGACACGGGCCAGACUCCUACGGGAGGCAGCAGUGGGGAAUCUUGGACAAUGGGCGCAAGCCUGAUCCAGCCAUGCUGCGUGAGUGAAGAAGGUCUUCGGAUUGUAAAGCUCUUUUGCCAGGGACGAUAAUGACGGUACCUGGAGAAUAAGCCCCGGCAAACUUCGUGCCAGCAGCCGCCGUAACAC